AAUUGCUUAGAAAAUUAGUAAACCUGCCUUCUAAGCAGACGGUCGAAGGUUCGAAUCCUUCCGCGAUCACCA
rnacentral:tRNA from 1 species